ACAGUUAAAUUUGUAAUUUGGGUUGUGUGAAAACUUCUUUGGGCCUCAUAAACAACCACAGAACCACAAGUUGGGUAGCCUGGCAGUGUCAGAAGUCUGAGCCCGGCACAGUGGUCAGCAGGCAGGGCGAAUCACACUGAAUGCAAACCACAGGGUUUCGCAGAGUGGUGAAAGAAAUCAUUGAGUCCCCGCCUUCAGAAGAGGGUGCAUUUUCAGGAGGAAGCAAUGGCUUCAGACAGCAUAUUUGAGUCAUUUCCUUCGUACCCACAGUGCUUCAUGAGAGAACCACAGGUAAAAAUCUCAGCGAGACUGACUCCCUGCUCAUCUUCUCCGUGGUUCGAAUUUACCCCACCAGAGGAGUCUUUCAAAGAGAGUGGCAGAACACAAAAUUGCAUGUAUAAAGUCUACUGUUCUUUAAGCAUCCGUUUGUCACUAUUUUCAGAAGAAUAUUUAUUAAGACACUUCUGGUUUGAUGGAAAACUUAAGAUC